UGGCGGCGCGUUUAAGCAUGCAAGUCGAGCGGCAAGGGCCUUCGGGCCCUAGAGCGGCGGACGGGUGAGUAACACGUGGACAAUCUGCCCCCCGGCCCGGGAUAGCCCAGGGAAACCUGGAUUAAUACCGGAUGAGACGGGACCCGCGAUGGCGGGACCCGGGAAAGGCGCUGCGGCGCCGCCGGGGGAUGAGUCUGCGUCCCAUUAGCUAGACGGCGGGGUAACGGCCCACCGUGGCGACGAUGGGUAGCCGGCCUGAGAGGGUGGACGGCCACAUUGGAACUGAGACACGGUCCAGACUCCUACGGGAGACAGCAGCUAAGAAUCUUCCGCAAUGGGCGAAAGCCUGACGGAGCCGACGCCGCGCGAACGAAGAAGGCCGUGAGGUUGUAAAGUCCUUUUCGGGAGGGGGAACAACCGUGGCAGGGAAUGGCCGCGGGAUGACGUGAAUCCCGGAAUAAGCCCCGGCUAACUACGUGCCAGCCGCAGC
rnacentral:rRNA from 1 species